rnacentral:rRNA from 1 species
UACGUAGGGUGCAAGCGUUGUCCGGAAUUAUUGGGCGUAAAGAGCUCGUAGGCGGUCCGUCACGUCCGCUGUGAAAACCCAGGGCUCAACCCUGGGCUUGCAGUGGAUACGGGCAGACUAGAGGUAGGUAGGGGAGAAUGGAAUUCCCGGUGUAGCGGUGAAAUGCGCAGAUAUCGGGAGGAACACCGGUGGCGAAGGCGGUUCUCUGGGCCUUACCUGACGCUGAGGAGCGAAAGCGUGGGGAGCGAACAGG